rnacentral:rRNA from 1 species
UACGUAGGGGGCUAGCGUUGUCCGGAUUUAUUGGGCGUAAAGAGCGUGUAGGCGGCCAUGUAGGUCCGGUGUGAAAACUCGAGGCUUAACCUCGAGAUGUCAUCGGAAACCAUUUGGCUAGAGUCCGGAAGAGGAGAGUGGAAUUCCUGGUGUAGAGGUGAAAUUCGUAGAUAUCGGGAGGAACACCAGUGGCGAAGGCGGCGAUCUGGGAAGAUACUGACGCUGAGGUGCGAAAGCGUGGGGAGCAAACAGG